rnacentral:rRNA from 1 species
GGGAAACUGAAGCUAAUACCAGAUAAGUAAAAGAUACUGGAAUGUUCUUUUAUCUAAAGUUUCGACGCUCGAGGAUUGGACUGCGCCGGAUUAGGUUGUUGUUAGGGUAACGUCCUGGCAAGCCGAUAAUCCGUACGAGCCUUGAGAGAGGAAGCUCGGAGAUGGAUUCUGAGACAAGAAUCCAGGCCCUACGGGGCGCAGCAGGCGCUAAAAUUUCCCAAUGCACGCAAGUGUGAGGAAGGGAUCUGGAGUGCUUUCCCGUUUUAGGGGAAGCUUUUGUGGAGUGUUAAAAGCUCCAAGAAUAAGUGGUGGGUAAGACGGGUGCCAGCCGCCGCGGUAAUACCCGCGCCACGAGUGAUGACCACGUUUAUUGGGCUUAAAGCGUUCGUAUCCGGCUCAGAAGGUCUUUAGUGAAAUCCCGCAGCUAACUGUGGGGCUUGCUAGUGAAACCACUGAGCUACGGAUCGGGAGAGGUAUGGGGUA